UUGGAAGCUAAAAUGUUUCUUUCUAUUUUUAAACUUUCCUAUUUUUUAUAUCAACCAAAGACUACGCAAAUUUCACUCUUUUCCACUUUAGCUAAAUAUCUUGUUUCUUAAGACAAGUUAGCAACAGCGUUUUCUUUCCAACAUAGCAUCAAGAUUUUAUAUUUAAGUGGAUCGAAGGUUACUUCGUGGUGAACUAAAGUGACGAGAUCUUCAAAAGAAGGUGACUCAAGUUUUAUCCGUCGUCUACGCCUUUCUACGAGCACGUAUGAGCGUCUAAGGUUAGAUGUCUAUCAGAAGAAUUGACUCGUUAUAGUCAUUCAAUUUAAGAUGGAUUUGAGGUUCAGAUUUACAUGAUGACAGGCAUUCUUUCUAUAUGAUACAGAUGUUCAGCGAGAUGGUGUAAGCUCCACUUCCCUCUAGAUCAAAGUCAAGUCUAGUACUCUUAUUAAUGUUAGAAAUUACUGGUUGGUCGGGGCCCUAUCCCGACACUUGUAUCAGUUGUCUAUUUGUAAGUAUUCAUAGAGGCUUCAUAGACAGUACAUGUGGGUCAAUUAUAUUCAGUUGCAUAUCAUGGUCUAGUGGCUACAUUUAUGUUUAGAAGUUAUUUACAGAUGUCAUCUGUCUCUCAAGUUACAUUAUUCGAUAUAGUACAAGUUUACCGUAGUUGCAUAAAGAGUAUAGUUCAUCCCAUUCAGAUUUGGGGCUUGACAGUGGCCCAUGCCGACCUCGCUAGUCUCACACAUACAGACCAACACGCGCAGGUGCGGUGCACCAGAACCAGAAAAUGGCCAAAACCCAAAAACUUCUGAUCCAACACUCGAAACUCAUUCAGAACCUCCUGAACACAAAUCAAAUGUUCAUUUCUAUCAUAAAACACGCUACAAACUCGCUCGUGCACUCGAAAUUCCCAAAGAGGUUACCUUGACCUAGUGUUGACCUAGGUCGACUCCAAAGCAUCAAUAUUUUAACUUUCCAACAAACACCCAAAUCACACCCGAACAGCUUGAGACUCGAACCGAAGGCUCGACUAAGUAAAAAAUCACAUUUCGGACCAAACGGAAUCGACGAAACUUCCAAAAUUAAGCAUUUAACCUCGAUGUUGACUUUGCUCAAAGAUCUAUAUUUCUUUAAUUGAGAAAACUCCAUUUUCACUAAAACCAAAACCCACCUGAUUACCUCGAGAACCGCAACACCCAUCCUUCAAGUCAUAAAUACCAAAUUGAAACUACGAGAAAGGUAUUUUGGGCAAAUAAGUAAAACUAUCAAAAUGACUAAGCAAGUCGUUACAAUAUACCUGAUAAGUUGGACAUAUGUGAAAGUGGUACAGCAGUUGACCGGUCAUAUAACGACUCUCAACAGGUUCAUAUCUCGGUCGUCUGAGAAGCCACAUAAGUUCUUCUCGCUGCUCAAGAAUAAAAAUGACUUUGAGUGGAUGCUAGAGUGUCAUCAGGUAUUGCGCAAUUUAAAAGCAUACCUAUCCAGUCCUCCGCUCAUGUCAAAACUAAAAUACGAAGAACAACUUAUGGUGUACCUAGCCGUCUCGGAGGUGGCGGUAAGUGCGGUUUUAGUAAUGAAGAAAAAAGUAUGCAAUUCUUAGUUUACUAUAUAAGUAGAAUCAUUUCCAGGGCUGAAACUCGGUACCCGCUUCUGGACAGUUUAGCCAUUGCUCUAGUGAUGGCAUAUCGAAAGCUUAGGUCUUACGUCCGGUGCCACCUCAUUGAUGUAGAAACUAUGUUUCCUUUGUUGAAUGUGCGUCAAAAGACCAAACUUUCAGGACGGCUGGCCAAAUGGGUAGUGUAACUCAGUGAAUUCGAUAUAGAAUAUAAAACCCGCACCGCGAUUAAGUCACAAGUCCUAGCCGAAUUCGUUGCUAAUUCCAAUCCAAGGGUAGCUCCACAAGUAGAAAAAAGAAGCCGCCCUGGUCUCGGAGACUAUCCUAAGGGUUUGGAUGCUCUACGCUGAUAGGGCAUCUAAUGUAAAGGGAACAUGUCUAGGAAUAGUCUUACAUACUCCCUCCGGUGAAAUUUUGAGACAAGCAAUACAUAGUGUACCUUUAACUAACAAUAAAGCUAAGUACGAGGUUGUAAUUGCAAGUCUUGAAUUAUCCUGCGGACUGAGCUCUAGAAAAUCAAGGUAAAAUGCGACUGCCUAUUGGUAGUAAAUAAGGUCCAUAGAGUAUUUGAGGCAAAAGAGGAGUGCAUGUUACGGUAUCUCAAAAAGGUUCUAAAGUUGCUCUCCAGAUUCUAGGAAUGGAUGAUGGUGCACGUACCCUGGAAAGAAAACAUAGAGGCGGAUGCCCUUCCAAUUUGGGAUCUUUCACAGAAGCAGAAGGAUCGAGUACUGGAUCUGUAGUGCAAUUUCUUUACUAGGUAUUAGAUCUCGCGGGUUACAAUGAAGUGAAUUCAACGAGCUUUGUUUAGAUUGGAGGAAUGAAUCCACAGAUUACCUCAAACACGAAAAGCUACCGGAUGACUUAAUGGCGUCUAGGGUGUUAAGGGCAAAAACAACACAGUAUGGUAUCAUAGAUGGGAUACUUCAUCGGUCGUGUUAGGAUGGUCAAUUUGCAGUAAUCAUUCCGGGGCAGAUUCGUUAAUGAGAAAGCUGAUAAGAGCUGGAUACUAUUGGUCCCUGAUUAAGGAGGAUACAAAAGCAUUCUUUCAGAAGUGCGACCAGUGUCAAUGCCAUGCUUGAAUGUUUCAUCAACCGGGGCAAGAAUUGCAUCCGGUUAUGUCUCCAUGACCAUUUAUGAAAUGGAGAAUGGACAUAGUCAGGCCUUUGCCUUCUGGCCUGGGACAAGUAAAAUUUGUAUUUGUUAUGACUGAUUAUUGUUUUAAGUGGGUUGAAGCAGGUGCCUACCAGAAGGUAUGGGAGAAUGAGGUGAUGGAUUUCAUCCGACAGCAUAUCAUCCGCCAGUUUAGGAUGCCGAAAGAAUAGCUUGUGACAAUAGGCCUCAAUUUAUCGGCUCCAAGACACUAAAUUUCUGGAGGACUUGAACAUCAAAAGGAUUACCUCCUCUCCUUAACACCCCAGCGCAAACGGACAGGCGGAGUUAAUUAAUAAGACUAUAAUCCAAAAUUUGAAGAAAAAUCUAGAAGAUGCCAAAGGUUUUUGGCUAGCUAAAUUACCUGAGGUGAUUUGGGCGUACCGAACCACAGUAAAGUCAAGCACCGGGAAACGCUAUUUUCCCUCGUAUAUGGAGUAGAGGAAUUAUUCCCGGUCGAAAUGGGGACUCUGUGUUACACCCACAGUUUUGUAUUUUGAGAUUCACCAUGCAUUAGUUGUUCUAAUCUUGGAUACAAGGUUAUCAAGGUUAAAUGAAAUUAGACAAGUUUAUCUCAUAGUUAUAAAGGGUUAAGUUCAUAUUUAGCAGGUAUUGGACGGAUUAAAAGUUGAACAAAUUGACGAAAAAAUGUUUCAGGGGAAAAGUGGGUUUUACGGCCUGAUAUACCAAUCGUAUAAUGUUUUACGGACCGUAUAUUUGGCUAACCUCCACCGUAAACUGGUUCCAGAAAGGGUGAACCACUAGUGAAGAUUUACGGUCCAAUUAUAUGGACCGUACACUGUUUUACAAACCGUAUAAUUGACUGACUCCAUCGUAAAAUGGAUUCAGAGAAGGGAGAAGCACUGAUCAGGAUUUACGGUCCAGUUAUACGGACCCUAUGAGUUUUACGGUCCGUAAAUUUGACCAUAAAAUUGGGUCGGGCCAGAUUUUGUUGAAGUUAUAUAUAUUCGUCCCUCACUCAUUUUAAUUCAUUUCCAACAUUUCCCAACUUCUUGAGAGAUCUAGAACCUUCUCCCUUUUAUAUUUAACAAAACCCAAGUGAAAUCAAAGAUCAAGAGGCAAAAAUCAAGAGAAUCAAGUGUUGGGAGGCUCACUAGGGUUUGUAGAACCCAAGAAUUUCUUUGGUGUUGAAGUUGGGGUUUCACUCAAGUGGGAUAGUUGAUUCAAAGCUUGAUCUUGUGUGAUUAAGGUAAGUUUUUACAUCUAUUUUUAUGUUAUUAAGACUGCUUGGUUGUUGAACAACUUGAAUGAGGGAAGAAAGUAAAAGAGGAAGUUCAAAAUUUUGAGUAAUAAAUUAACUUGAGUUGUAGUUGUUGGAGUAUUUUGAGUAUAAUCUUGCUAUAAAUGGUGGAAAUGAUUAUGUGGAAGUAUGGUAUACGAGUGUAUAUAGGGUUGUGUUGAAAUUAUUGUUGUGUGUUGAUUAUGAAAAGUAGUUUUGAGCAUUAAAUGAUGUCUCUUGAUUAUGGAAUUGAUGAUAAUGUUAUUGUUGAUUGGGAGUUGUUUUAUGAUAUAAUGGAAGUCGAUAAGAGGGGAAAUGCUGCCCAAAUUUCGUCAAUUCGUUAUUAAUACUAGUUUGAACUUAAGAGUGUUUUCAAGACUUAACCUUAGUAUGAUUCUCUUGAAUGUAGACUUUACGAACUUGGAAGGAGAACGUUAGGUGAUUAAGGAGACGUUAAGGUAUGUUAAGGCUAUCCCUUCUUUCAUUUUUGGCAUGAUCUUAUGAUAUGAACCAACAAGCGAGUAAACGAGCUUCCAUAUUAUUCUACUCUUAGAAGCAGUAGGGGUACUUCAGUCAUUGAUGUUCCUAUACCCCUUUUAUGAUUGUUCCUUCUAUUCAUGGGUCUUGAAAGUUCUUAUAUUGAUGAUAUUAGCUCAAAGAUGUACAUCGGAGGUAGUACGACCUUAUGUCACUCCAAGAGUCAUACGUAUUCAUUUAAUUUAUGCAUUGCAUUCACUUAUACAUAUGCACAUUGACCUAUGACUAGAAGGCGUUAUAUACGCGUAUAUUAUAUGUAUAUGGCGUGUGGGGAAAGGGAUAGGCGUUAUAUACGCAUUACCAUCUGAUCAGUUGUGCACAGUGAUGAUGAUGAUGAUGAUAUGUGGAUCGGCCCGUACGUUCCUCGGCACUAUUAUAUGAUAUAUGGAUCGGGUCGUACGUUCCUCGGUACUAUUAUAUGAUAUAUGGAUAGGGCCGUACGUUCCUCGGCACUAACAUAUGGGAUAUGGAUCGGGCUGUACGUUCCACAGCACUAACAGUUAUAUUAUGACCUAUGCAUAUCAUGCGCCCUCAGAGGCAUUUUCAUGUUAUACAGAGUUAUACAGAUGUUCCCAGAUGUUCAGCCACAGAUGCAUUCAAAUAUUGAGAUUUUCCUUCAUGUUGCAGAUGUCUCUUAUGAUUCAUAUGUACUUGAUGUUCCUAUGACUUUGUACUUGAUGUUCUUAUGCCUUACAUACUCGGUAUAUUAUCCGUACUGACUCCCAUAUUGUUCGGGAGGGUUGCGUUCAUGCCCGCAGGUUCAGGUAGGCAGAGAGGCGAUCUAGCUCAGUAGGAUUUCCCCUCAGCUGUAGUUGGUGCGCUCCACUUGAUCCGGAGUCGCAGUUCAUUUUGGGUAUGCUAUAUUCGAGAUGCAUGUUUAUGGGUAUGACGGGGCCCUGUCCCGUCCUUUCUACAGUUUGUAGUCCAGUAGAGGUCUGUAGACAGUUGUAUGUAGAUGACAUGUGAUGUUGCCUUGUUAGCUCCUAUUCUUUUGUGUACAACAUAUCUAGCGGCCUAGUCGGCUUGUAUUGUUCUUUCCAGCUUAUAUAUAUACAGAUUGUACAGGGUUCAUGA